AGACGAACCGUCCAAACGUUAUUCGGAAUUACUGGGCUUAAAGGGUGCGUAGGCGGCGCGGAAAGUUGGGUGUGAAAUCCCUCGGCUCAACCGAGGAACUGCGCUCAAUACUACCGUGCUCGAGGGAGAUAGAGGUGAGCGGAACUUAGGGUGGAGCGGUGAAAUGCGUUGAUAUCCUAAGGAACACCGGUGGCGAAAGCGGCUCACUGGAUCUCUUCUGACGCUGAGGCACGAAAGCUAGGGUAGCGAACGGGAUUAGAUACCCCGGUAGUCCUAGCCGUAAACGAUGAGCACUGGAUUGAAGGGUCCUCCAUAGCCUUUCAGUCGCAACGAAAGCGUUAAGUGCUCCGCCCGGGGAGUAUGGUCGCAAGGCUGAA
rnacentral:rRNA from 1 species